GAUGAACGCUGGCGGCAUGCCUAAGACAUGCAAGUCGAACGAAGCGGCCCAAUGAAGAAUGCGAGCUUGCUCAAAUUUAGAUUUGGAUAACCACUUAGUGGCGCAAGGGUGAGUAACGCGUAGGUAAUCUACCUUCGAGUCUGGAAUAACAGUUAGAAAUGAUUGCUAAUGCCGGAUGAAAUGGGAAACGAUACGUCAUUUUUUAUUAAAAGGUGCCUUUAAAGCAUCGCUUGAAGAUGAGCCUGCGUCGUAUUAGUUAGUUGGUGGGGUAAUGGCCUACCAAGACAACGAUGCGUAGCCGACCUGAGAGGGUGAUCGGCCACACUGGGACUGAGACACGGCCCAGACUCCUACGGGGAGGCAGCAGUAGGGAAUCUUCGGCAAUGGGGGCAACCCUGACCGAGCAACGCCACGUGAGUGAAGAAGGUUUUCGGAUCGUAAAGCUCUGUUGUAAGAGAAGAACGUGUGUGAGAGUGGAAAGUUCACACAGUGACGGUAG
rnacentral:rRNA from 1 species